rnacentral:rRNA from 1 species
GACAGAGGGUGCAAACGUUGUUCGGAAUUACUGGGCGUAAAGCGCGUGUAGGCGGCUUGGCAAGUCGGGUGUGAAAGCCCUGGGCUCAACCUAGGAAGUGCACUCGAAACUGCCUCGCUGGAGUGCCGGAGAGGAAAGCGGAAUUCUCGGUGUAGAGGUGAAAUUCGUAGAUAUCGAGAGGAACACCGGUGGCGAAGGCGGCUUUCUGGACGGUUACUGACGCUGAGGCGCGAAAGCGUGGGGAGCAAACAGG